rnacentral:rRNA from 1 species
AUUGAACGCUGGCGGCAGGCCUAACACAUGCAAGUCGAACGAGUGGCGGACGGGAGAGUAAUGUCUGGGAAUCUGCCCGAUGGAGGGGUAUAACUACUGGAAACGGUAGCCAAUACCGCAUACCAUCUGAUGUGCCCAGAUGGGAUGAGCUUGUAGGUGGGGUAACGGCGCACAUAGGCGACGAUCCCUAGCUGUUCUGAGAGGAUGACCAGCCACACUGGAACUGAGACACGGUCCAGACUCCUACGGGAGGCAGCAGUGGGGAAUAUUGCACAAUGGGCGCAAGCCUGAUGCAGCCAUGCCGCGUGUAUGAAGAAGGCCUUCGGGUUGUAAAGUACUUUCAGCGAGGAGGCGUUACUCGCAGAAGAAGCACCGGCUAACUCCGUGCCAGCAGCCGCGGUAAUUC